rnacentral:rRNA from 1 species
CGGAAGCUAAUACCGGAUACGAACUGCGAAGGCAUCUUCAGCAGUUGGAAAGAACUUCGGUCAAGGAUGGACUCGCGGCCUAUCAGGUAGUUGGUGAGGUAACGGCCCACCAAGCCUACGACGGGUAGCCGGCCUGAGAGGGUGACCGGCCACACUGGGACUGAGACACGGCCCAGACUCCUACGGGAGGCAGCAGUGGGGAAUAUUGCACAAUGGGCGCAAGCCUGAUGCAGCAACGCCGCGUGAGGGAUGACGGCCUUCGGGUUGUAAACCUCUUUUAGUAGGGAAGAAGCGAAAGUGACGGUACCUGCAGAAAAAGCACCGGCUAACUACGUGCCAGCAGCCGCGGUAAUACGUAGGGUGCGAGCGUUGUCCGGAAUUAUUGGGCGUAAAGAGCUCGUAGGCGGUCUGUCGCGUCUGCUGUGAAAACCCGAGGCUCAACCUCGGGCCUGCAGUGGGUACGGGCAGACUAGAGUGCGGUAGGGGAGAAUGGAAUUCCUGGUGUAGCGGUGGAAUGCGCAGAUAUCAGGAGGAACACCGAUGGCGAAGGCAGUUCUCUGGGCCGUAACUGACGCUGAGGAGCGAAAGCGUGGGGAGCGAACAGGAUUAGAUACCCUGGUAGUCCACGCCGUAAACGUUGGGCGCUAGAUGUGGGGACCAUUCCACGGGUUUCCGUGUCGCAGCUAACGCAUUAAGCGCCCCGCCUGGGGAGUACGGCCGCAAGGCUAAAACUCAAAGGAAUUGACGGGGGCCCGCACAAGCGGCGGAGCAUGCGGAUUAAUUCGAUGCAACGCGAAGAACCUUACCAAGGCUUGACAUAUACGAGAACGGGCUAGAAAUAGUCAACUCUUUGGACACUCGUAAACAGGUGGUGCAUGGUUGUCGUCAGCUCGUGUCGUGAGAUGUUGGGUUAAGUCCCGCAACGAGCGCAACCCUCGUUCUAUGUUGCCAGCACGUAAUGGUGGGAACUCAUAGGAGACUGCCGGGGUCAACUCGGAGGAAGGUGGGGAUGACGUCAAAUCAUCAUGCCCCUUAUGUCUUGGGCUUCACGCAUGCUACAAUGGCCGGUACAAAGGGCUGCAAUACCGCAAGGUGGAGCGAAUCCCAAAAAGCCGGUCUCAGUUCGGAUUGAGGUCUGCAACUCGACCUCAUGAAGUCGGAGUCGCUAGUAAUCGCAGAUC